AGUGAACGCUGGCGGUAGGCCUAACACAUGCAAGUCGAACGGCAGCACAGUAAGAGCUUGCUCUUACGGGUGGCGAGUGGCGGACGGGUGAGGAAUACAUCGGAAUCUACCUUUUCGUGGGGGAUAACGUAGGGAAACUUACGCUAAUACCGCAUACGACCUACGGGUGAAAGCAGGGGAUCUUCGGACCUUGCGCGAUUGAAUGAGCCGAUGUCGGAUUAGCUAGUUGGCGGGGUAAAGGCCCACCAAGGCGACGAUCCGUAGCUGGUCUGAGAGGAUGAUCAGCCACACUGGAACUGAGACACGGUCCAGACUCCUACGGGAGGCAGCAGUGGGGAAUAUUGGACAAUGGGCGCAAGCCUGAUCCAGCCAUACCGCGUGGGUGAAGAAGGCCUUCGGGUUGUAAAGCCCUUUUGUUGGGAAAGAAAAGCAGCAGGUUAAUACCCCGCUGUUCUGACGGUACCCAAAGAAUAAGCACCGACUAACUUCGUG
rnacentral:rRNA from 1 species